rnacentral:rRNA from 1 species
AACUAACGCUGGCGGCGUGCCUAACACAUGCAAGUCGUACGAGAAAGUUGGCUUCGGCCGAUGAGUACAGUGGCGCACGGGUGAGUAACGCGUGGAUAAUCUGCCCUUAAGUGUGGAGUAACGUACCGAAAGGUGCGCUAAUACCGCAUAAUGCCUGGCAACAUAAGUUGUCCGGCCAAAGAAGGCCUCUGCUUGCAAGCUUUCGCUAAAGGAUGAGUCCGCGUACCAUUAGCUAGUUGGUGGGGUAACGGCCUACCAAGGCGACGAUGGUUAGCUGGUCUGAGAGGAUGAUCAGCCACACUGGAACUGAGACACGGACCAGACUCCUACGGGAGGCAGCAGUAAGGAAUAUUGGUCAAUGGCGCAAGCCUGAACCAGCCAUGCCGCGUGAAGGAUGACGGCCCUAUGGGUUGUAAACUUCUUUUGUACGGGAAAAACCUACUGGUCGUGAAUCAGAGCUGAUGGUACCGUAAGAAUAAGCAUCGGCUAACU